GGGAGUGGCAGACGGGUGAGUAACACGUGGGAACCUUCCCUUUGGUACGGAAUAACCCACCGAAAGGUGGAUUAAUGCCGCAUAAGCCCGAGAGGGGAAAGAUUUAUCGCCAAAGGAUGGGCCCGCGUAGGAUUAGCUAGUUGGUGAGGUAAUGGCUCACCAAGGCGACGAUCCUUAGCUGGUCUGAGAGGACGACCAGCCACACUGGGACUGAGACACGGCCCAGACUCCUACGGGAGGCAGCAGUGGGGAAUAUUGGACAAUGGGCGCAAGCCUGAUCCAGCCAUGCCGCGUGAGUGAUGAAGGCCUUCGGGUUGUAAAGCUCUUUUGGCGGGGACGAUAGUGACGGUACCCGCAGAAUAAGCCCCGGCUAACUUCGUGCC
rnacentral:rRNA from 1 species